CGAUAAGUCGAUCGAGUCAUGCGUUGACCGUAGGAGACCUACGCUCGAUAACGUUCUGUCGUACGGAAGGAAACAAGUAGCAGAGUACUGCCUGUACCCUCGCCGGGUAGCGUAGCAGAAAUGUCCAAGGGCUAGCUACGUGCAUGCAGCCCCUGUAAUAGGUAGGUGGCUAGCGUUGUUCUGGAACUUACUUGGGCGUACAGCGCGCGCAGGGUGGCUCCCUUAAGUCCUGAUGGUGAAAGCCCACGGCUCAAUCCGUGGAAGGGUCAUUGGAAUCUGGGGAACUUGAGUGCAGAAGAGGAAAGUGGAAUUUCCAAGUGUAGCGGUGAAAUGCGUAGAGAUUUGGAGGAACACCAGUGGCGAAGGCGACUUUCUGGUCUGUAACUGACACUGAGGCGCGAAAGCGUGGGGGAGCAAACACGAUUAGAUACCCUGGUAGUCCACGCCGUAAACGAUGAGUGCUAAGUGUUAGAGGGUUUCCGCCCUUUAGUGCUGCAGCUAACGCAUUAAGCACUCCGCCUGGGGAGUACGGCCGCAAGGCUGAAACUCAAAGGAAUUGACGGGGGCCCGCACAAGCGGUGGAGCAUGUGGUUUAAUUCGAAGCAACGCGAAGAACCUUACCAGGUCUUGACAUCCUCUGACAACCCUAGAGAUAGGGCUUUCCCCUUCGGGGGACAGAGUGACAGGUGGUGCAUGGUUGUCGUCAGCUCGUGUCGUGAGAUGUUGGGUUAAGUCCCGCAACGAGCGCAACCCUUGAUCUUAGUUGCCAGCAUUCAGUUGGGCACUCUAAGGUGACUGCCGGUGACAAACCGGAGGAAGGUGGGGAUGACGUCAAAUCAUCAUGCCCCUUAUGACCUGGGCUACACACGUGCUACAAUGGAUGGUACAAAGGGCUGCAAACCUGCGAAGGUAAGCGAAUCCCAUAAAGCCAUUCUCAGUUCGGAUUGCAGGCUGCAACUCGCCUGCAUGAAGCCGGAAUCGCUAGUAAUCGCGGAUCAGCAUGCCGCGGUGAAUACGUUCCCGGGCCUUGUACACACCGCCCGUCACACCACGAGAGUUUGUAACACCCGAAGUCGGUGAGGUAACCUUCAUGGAGCCAGCCGCCUAAGUGACCCAGUCU
rnacentral:rRNA from 1 species